GCGCGCGGCCGGCCCCUCCCCGGGGCUGGAAGGCUGAAGCCCUUUGGGGAGCGAGUCCGGCCGUAGCGCGAAGGAGCGCGGCGCGGGCUCGCCUGGGCACAGGGGCCCAGGCUGGGGGGGGGGGGGGGGGGUCAGUGCCGGCCGUGUAGGUGGGAGGCGCUGAGGGUGUAGCGGGCCACCAGGCCGUGGAGAACCACUGAGCUGGGGGCCGGCAGAGCUGGGACACCGCCCCCGGGUUUCGCCGUGGGGGCGGGGGCGGGGGCGGCGAGACCCCGCCCCCUUUUGUCUUAGGUACUCGGAGGUGGGGGGCUGCGCCCGGCCAGAGCAAUUAGCCCAGCGCCGGGCCUGGAGCGACUGGGACUUGCAAUGUCCCGGCCUUGAUUGCAAUCACUGUGCGGGGGUGGGGGGAGGGGAAACAAAGGGAGUGAUAACUGGGCUGACGGAGGAUAACUGCCAUUAUUAAGCACCCCGGGCUGGCCAGGAGCAGUCACCGCCUCUUCCUUCCCGAGGGGGCAGCCGAGGCACACGGGAUACAAGCAUGUGUCCUGGAAUUGUGGAAGAGGCAGAGCUGGGAUACGAACCUGGGACAUGUGGCUCCUGGCCCGCUCUGCGCCAGGAUGAGGAAAACGUGCUCCACUUUCCUCCACCGUAAAAAUGGCUGGACUUAGGAAAACUAAUGACUAAUAUGUCCACCUCCUAGCAAAUGUUUGGAAUGAACAUGAGAAAUUGCUGCUACAAACAUUCUCGUACAGGUUUUAUGUGAAUGGAAGUUGUCCUCUCUCUAGGAUAAAUAUCUAGGAGUACGAUUGCUGAGUUAUAAGGGCUGUUGGAAACAAAGCUGCAGUGAACAGGCAUACGCCAUGGACAGACGUGUGGGGGCUGCGUCCUGUCCUUGUGUGCCAUCCUGCCUGGCACAGAACGGAGGUGCUCCAGGUGUAUCUGCUGGACCACCGAGCCAAGGCAGAAUAAACUUCAGGAGGCCCAACUGUGACUACUGCGACUCCCCU